rnacentral:rRNA from 1 species
AUUGAACGCUGGCGGCAGGCCUAACACAUGCAAGUCGAACGAGUGGCGGACGGGUGAGUAAUGUCUGGGAAACUGCCUGAUGGAGGGGGAUAACUACUGGAAACGGUAGCUAAUACCGCAUACCAUCGGAUGUGCCCAGAUGGGAUUAACUAGUAGGUGGGGUAAAGGCUCACCUAGGCGACGAUCCCUAGCUGGUCUGAGAAGAAGACCAAGCAACAUGGAACCGAGAAAAGGGCCAGACUCCUACGGGAGGCAGCAGUGGGGAAUAGUGGAAAAAGGGCGCAAGCAUGAUGCAGUCAUGCCGCGUGGAUUAAGAAGGCCUUCGGGUUGGAAAUGACUUUCGGGGGGGAAGCGUUAACCGCAGAAGAAGGACCGGCUAAAUCCGUGCCAGCAGCCGCGGUAAUUA